rnacentral:rRNA from 1 species
CUUCACGCAUGCUACAAUGGCCGGUACAAAGGGCUGCGAUACCGCGAGGUGGAGACGAAUCCCAAGAAAGCCGGUCUCAGUUCGGAUUGGGUCUGCAACUCGACCCCAUGAAGUCGGAGGUCGCUAGUAAUCGCAGAUCAGCAACGCUGCGGUGAAUACGUUCCCGGGCCUU